rnacentral:misc_RNA from 1 species
GAUGAAGAACGCAGCGAAAUGCGAUAAGUAAUGCGAAUUGCAGAAUUCAGUGAAUCAUCGAAUGUUUGAACGCACAUUGCGCCCGCCAGUAUUCUGGCGGGCAUGCCUGUUCGAGCGUCAUUUCAACCCUCAAGCACAGCUUGGUGUUGGGACUCGCGUUAAUUCGCGUUCCCCAAAUUGAUUGGCGGUCACGUCGAGCUUCCAUAGCGUAGUAGUAAAACCCUCGUUACUGGUAAUCGUCGCGGCCACGCCGUUAAACCCCAACUUCUGAAUGUUGACCUCGGAUCAGGUAGGAAUACCCGCUGAACUUAAGCAUAUCAAUAAGCGGAGGA